ensembl:lncRNA
GAGGGAGCGAGAGAGGGAGAGGGAGAGGGAUAGAGAUAGGGAGAAGGAGAGGGAAAGGGAGAGGGAGAGGGAAAGGGAGAGAGAGAGGGAAAGGGAAAGGGUGCAAAUGACUGCUGGGCUGCACAACUUCCAAAACGAACAACAGCACAGGGAGCAAGAGAUGACUCUGCUGGUGCCCAAAGAGGAGCCAGUGAGCCCGGCGCCGUCUCCAAAAUGCUCUGUGGUUCAAACCACAACAAGCAACACUUUGCAGAGGCGUUCAAAGUCACCCCGGCACUCCCCAAGCACCGCAGAUCUGGCGCGGGCGAAACAGGAGGCGACGCAUUCCCGUCGGCUCGGCCGGCAGGGGCUCAUGUUGCCAACUAGUUCAACCGGGGCCAACGAGCGCCCCUCCGCCCACGCUCUGCUGCUCCCCAGGGUGUCUGAGGCGAAGCGGGAGAGCGCUCCCUCAAGCAUCACUGGGGACCCCCAAAGGGAGAACAGAGGCUACCCCGUCCAGGACUUCCCUUUGCCCUUGAUUGUGCCCGGGGGCUUUCGCUCCGGGAAAAAACAAGAGGACAACUUCAUGUCUUACCCUGCCAGCCCCUUUCCCUUUGCAUCACUGGGCAAGAUGGUUUCCCCCGGAGAUUUGGCCAAACUGCCCUUCUACCGUGACCCAUACGCGCUACUGUGUGCCCCACAGCUGCUAGCCUACCCCUACAAUCUAGCCACCCUGCCCAUGGCCAUGAACAUGAUGGGGGCAUCUGGGGACAAGGCUGAGCCCCUGCCCUUUCUGCCUGCUCUCUUCAACUAUGCCGCGGCCACUGCCCCUUACACGGGCAUCGCACCACAUACCUUGGUGGCGAACCCCAGCUUCUAUGGGGGCAGCAGUGCCAGCGGCAAAAAGAGGGACAGUGCCAACCCAUAGGAGAACAUUCUAGAGUCUGCAUCUCUGAAGGAAUAUUUAAGGAAAUAAAACCAGAAGACCAGGCCUUUUGGCAGAGGACUUACUGUUUUGUUUUUGUUUUGUUAUUUUGUUGCUCUUUGGUAAAACUAACAGCACUUGACAGUCCUUGCCUCUCUUUUUGUAAAAGUAGUCAUGAGACCUUGGAAAUUGUAGAGAAGGGGGUAAAGGGACGAAUAGGUCUUUUUGGAAGGGCGGAGAAAGGUGAAGAGGGGACAUGAGAGGGGAAAGACAGACAGUCUGCUCUUCCUCCCUUCCUCUCUUCCUCGCUCCUUCUGGUCAGAUGUGCCUCCAGCACAUCACUCCUUUAGUCAUGUCUUUCUGUAGUAACUGUAGAGCUUGAUUGUUUGUCUUCUCAGACUCCUUCUGUUAAUAACUAUGAUAUAAUAAGAAUAUAACAGCUAACAGGGUGUGUGUUUUGCAACAGUUUAGUUCAGUAUGCUUCCCACUGUAGCCGAAUAAUUAUAAUAAUAUUGAUAUAAUGAAUAAUAAUGAUAUAACACCUCAAAUGGAGGCUAAGUGUAUUAGGAAAGGAAAGGGAUAAGCUGGUUAUGUCAUUCAGCGUCAAUGGGGUCAAAUAACAAACCUAUGAGUGGAUGUGGCUCUGGCUGUACUAGAGGGUAUGUGUGUAUGUGUGUGCACAUGUGUGUGUGUGUGUGUGUGUGUAUGUCUGUUAACAUUUGUGGCUAUUCUCAGCUGCGUAGGUCUUGAUCCAUUCCAUAGAGAUCGGAGGUAUGCACGCCAUAUCAUUCCUAUGUUAGAUGGAUUUGCCUCUUGUAGGUCUUUUUAAGUGUGUGCAUUAGAUGGUACCCUUCCACUGACAGGUUUAACCUAGCAAGCCCGAGAGCAACUGAAGGCUGAAAUCAAGUCUGUGCCUGAUUGUUAAUAACUGAUGCCUCUAAAACACUAACAAAAACCUCAGUGGCCAGGGGACACAUCUGUUUUGACUGAGGCCUUUUUUUCCAAUAUACAUACAAACAAUCUGGAUCAACCUAUGUUCAAAUUUGCUCAUAGGUUUCACUUCACUUCUUGAAUAUAUAUUAUCAACAAACUGGCCAAUAAAUAAGAACAGUUAAACUAGCUGGUUCGGAUACUUCCUGUCCUCAAACUAUUCAUCUCAUUUCUGUGGAUUUUUACUAAAUAUAUAAAUAGCCUAAACAAUAUCGACCUUAUCGUUAGUGGCCUUUCGUACCCCAGCUCCCCCUGGUGUCCAGCCAAAGACACAUUCUUUUUAACUUGGAUGAGUCUGAGAGCAUUUAAGCAGAGGAAACGAGGGAGAAAGAAAGGGAUAGUCAGAAAGAUGGACAGAAAAAGGUACCUGACAUGGGUGUUAUUACGAGAGUUUUCCUGAAAAUGAAAAAAAAGGAAAAUCUUACAAAAGAUGGACAGCUCUCCCCCUUCACCAUUCUUGAGGGCUAACAGGGAGAGCCAAUUAAAAAAAGUCUAACCUGACUCAGUCUGUAAGUGGCAGAGAUGUUCUAGAGAAUUCUGCCAUGUCCCAGACUGUGCUUCCGUUAGCCGCCGCAGCUCCUCUCCUUCCCCUCUGCUGCGCCACGGCGGGGACAACAGGGAUGACGUCAGUCGAUCCUGACAGUGUCUCAGUAGGGGCUGGGCUUAGCGUCCAUUGUACUGGAGUUCCCCCUAGAUGCCUGCUGGGAGUUAUUUUUUUCUGUUAUGUAUAUCUCUCUGUGAUUUUUAUACCAGAUAAUUUGUUUUUUGUUUUUGUUUAAUUUCUUAACCCCUUUUGGUAGAAAGACAAGGAUUCUGCAAAAAGGGUUUUUGAGUAUACAUAAAUAUGAAUGUAAUUUUAGUCAUGAGGUUGAUGAAGAACAUAAGAGAGAACACUAUGGUAGAUGGAAUAGAAUCUGUUUUCUGACUUGAAAAAAAAAAAAAUAACAUGUAAUGAACCGUUAUGCAGUCUUGGUAUAUAUACAGUAGUCUUAGCAACAUGACAAGAAACAUGGGUUCAAUAUUCACAACGCAUGAGCUACACUUGCCUACAGCAUCUCCUCUGCUAUUGUCAACACAGUCUCUCGGCUCUUCUUUCCCCCUGAAACUACAAACUACUUCCUUUUUCGUUGUUUUUUGUUCUUUCUAUCACUUUGCACUACAUCCCUUUAUUGCCCACCCACCCUCAUUUUUUUUUUUUUUUUUUUAAAUCUAAAUACCAAAAAAAAAAGAACAGCUGCCACUUUUUUGUUCGAAUCAGUAUGGAAGCUGUCCAAUUCUACGCCGCCCCCCUCUCCCUCCUUCCAUCCCUCUCUCUACCCGCACCUCUACUGCCCUCCUCAGCGCCCCCCCCCCCCCCCCUCUCCUGGCCAUUUCCAAAACAUUUUACAGCUUGCCUUUGAAGUGUGAGUGCGUUUGAAAGCGAGCGAUGAAACCGCAACACUGUUCGUUUCCGGAGGGUACAAAGCACAGCCUGACCAAUUGUAGAGGCCGAUGUGGGUUUGUUUGGGUGUGGUUACAAGCCUUUUUGUGUGUGUGUGUGUGUGUGUGUGUGUGUGUGUGUGUGUGUGUGUGUGUGAGUGAGUGUGCAGAGAAUAAAAGAAAAACCAAAACAAUCACCAUAUCCCUUUGGGGUUUGCCCUGUUUUUGGUAGGUCCUGAUUUGUUUUGCUUUCCUUUGAAAAGGCCUGACCUACCUCCCUCAAUUCUUUACUCUCAUGAGAUAAACAAACAACAAAACAAGAAACAAAAUCACAGGAACUUUUGUUUGGCCACAAAAUCAUUUUUGGGAUAUAUCCAGAAAUCAUUUCCAUACCAUAUUUUUUGCCAUGUUACAUUUACAAGUCUGAUAAUGGAGACCCUGAGUAUUCAAAACGUUCAGACUAGAUUUUGUGAUAUGGUAGUCUGUGCUUUACUGAUUCUUUUUACGUCUUGUUUUGGUAAUGAUAUUUAUCUAUGGUCCCAAGGCAGAAUGGGGAAACUUGAAAUAUCAAACAAGAUUGAUGACUCUAAACACGCAAAGACGUUGGCUUUAGUUAGAUGAGUGUGGCUAAGUUGUCUGGUUUCGUAUACAUAUAAAUGUGAUACUGUGCCAUAGUUUUAGGAGCCUGUCCUAUAGGGCUUUUAAAAGUAUGUGUUUUUUGAUGACUUUGUGUUAUUAUUUAAUGCAAAGGCUUGUAGCCACGACACACCCAAACAAGUCCACAACUUAUUUUUUUAAUAUUACUUUUCUCAUUUGUUUUUUCUCCUCUUUAUCUCUCUUUCUCUGUCUCUCCAUAUCUCUUUCUCUCUGUCUCCAUGCUACAAUCAUAUGAAUAAAGUAUUAACCUGAUGACCCAACAAGAAGAA